UCAAGGCAUUAAUUGUCAAUAUUUCCUUAAGAUUACAAAAUCCUCUUUAAAGAUCACAAGAUCAUUUACAAUCUUGCAAAAUCCUCUCUCACUACUCAAUCAUCAUUUUCGACCAACACCUCUCUCCCUCUUUCUCUCACUUUCCUCCAUUUUCCUCCAUUGAAGAGACCUUCGAAGCUUCCAAAAAUUUUACAAAACACCUCAAUCCACUCUAAAAUCUUCCAUAAACACAUCCUAGCUACUUAUAUUCAAGAGAAUCAUUGAAGAAAGGCUUCCAAGCUAGAGUGAGAAAAUGUGAGUUUUGGUGAGAAAUUUGGGUUGAGCAGUUGAUGGAAUGGAAUGAUGUUGAGCGGGUGUUCCUUUGACAUUUCAAGAAAUGUAACCUUGAGUAUACAUCUUCAUAUGUAUAUCUCACACGUUUUCCGCUGCAAAACACUUUGAUUAGGAUAGCUCUAUGAUAUGAAGUUGUGAUACGUGUUAUUGGGUAACCACCUUAAUCAGUUCUCAAUUAUGUGUAUGUUUUAUAAGUAUCCAAAUAAUCAUAUAUGAUCCUAGCAUUUUAUCUAUGAGUGACAUUUCCAUA